rnacentral:rRNA from 1 species
GUAGGGAAUAUUGGACAAUGGGCGAAAGCCUGAUCCAGCCAUGCCGCGUGAUAGAUGAAGGCCCUCUGGGUUGUAAAUAUCUUUUAUCUGGGAAGAAACUCCUCUAUUCUUAGAGGCCUGACGGUACCAGAGGAAUAAGCACAGGCUAACUCCGUGCCAGCAGCCGCGGUAAUACGGAGGGUGCAAGCGUUAUCCGGAUUUAAUGGGUUUAAAGGGUGCGUAGGCGGGUUGAGAAGUCAGUGGUGGAAGCUCCGGGCUUAACUUGGAAACUGCCACUGAUACUGUCAAUCUUGAAUGUCGUAGAGGUAAGCGGAAUGUUGCAUGUAGCGGUGAAAUGCUUAGAUAUGUUACAGAACACCAAUUGCGAAGGCAGCUUACUAUGCGAUAAUUGACGCUGAGGCACGAAAGCGUGGGGAGCAAACAGGAUUAGAUACCCCUGUAGUCC